rnacentral:rRNA from 1 species
GCCUACGGGGGGCAGCAGUGGGGAAUAUUGCACAAUGGGGGAAACCCUGAUGCAGCAACGCCGCGUGAGUGAAGAAGUAUUUCGGUAUGUAAAGCUCUAUCAGCAGGGAAGAGAAUGACGGUACCUGACUAAGAAGCCCCGGCUAACUACGUGCCAGCAGCCGCGGUAAUACGUAGGGGGCGAGCGUUAUCCGGAUUUACUGGGUGUAAAGGGAGCGUAGACGGUUCUGCAAGUCUGAAGUGAAAGCCCGUGGCUUAAC